GAAGCGAUGAAGGACGUGGCUACCGGCGAAACGUUUCGGGGAGUUGGAAGUAAGCUUUGAUCCGAAAGUAUCCGAAUGAGGAAACUCUUUAACUUCUUACUGAAUCUAUAAGUAAAGAAAGAGCAAACCUAGGGAAUUGAAACAUCUUAGUACCUAGAGGAAAAGAAAGUAAAAACGAUUCUCGGAGUAGUGGCGAACGAAAUGGGAACAGCCUAAACUUUUAAUAGUUUUAUUAAAAGGGUUGUGGGGUAAAAAUAUCUGAAAAGAGAAAAAUGAAUGGAAUUUUAAUGAAGUUCAUAUUUAAAAAUUAGGUGAAAUAAUUGGAAAAUUAUACCAAAGAAAGUGAUAGUCUUGUAACCAAAAAUUUUUAACAUUUUUUUAUACCCGAGUAGCAUGGGACACGUGGAAUCCCGUGUGAAUCUGCGAGGACCACCUCGUAAGGCUAAAUAUUCCUGGAUGUCCGAUAGCGAAUAGUACCGCGAGGGAAAGGUGAAAAGAACCCCGGGAGGGGAGUGAAAUAGAACGUGAAAUUGCAUGCCCACAAACAGAAGAAGAACGACUUAGCGUUUGACUUCGUGCCUGUUGAAGAAUGUUCCGGCGACUUAUAGUUAGUGGCAGGUUAAGAUAGAGAUAUUGGAGCCAGAGUGAAAGCGAGCUUGAAUAGAGCGUUUGUCACUAGUUAUAGACCCGAACCCGGUUGAUCUAACCAUGGCCAGGAUGAAACUUAGGUAACACUGAGUGGAGGUCCGAACCGACUGAUGUUGAAAAAUCAGCGGAUGAGCUGUGGUUAGGGGUGAAAUGCCAAUCGAAACCGGAGCUAGCUGGUUCUCCCCGAAAUGUAUUUAGGUGCAGCGGUUAAUGUUAUAGCGUAGGGGUAAAGCACUGUUUCGGUGCGGGCUGGUAAUUCGGUACCAAAUCGAGGCAAACUCUGAAUACUACGUGCAUAAUUAACCAGUAAGACUAUGGGGGAUAAGCUUCAUAGUCAAGAGGGAAACAGCCCAGAUCACCAGCUAAGGCCCCUAAAUAAUUACUAAGUGAUAAAGGAAGUGGAAAGGCUUAGACAACCAGGAGGUUUGCUUAGAAGCAGCAAUCCUUUAAAAAGUGCGUAAUAGCUUACUGGUCUAGCAAUUCUGCGCCGAAAACUUACGGGACUAAGUAAUUUGCCGAAGCUGUGAGAUAAAUCAAAUAUUUUAAUCUUGUAUUAAAAAAAAUAUUUAUCGGUAGGGGAGCGUUCUGUUGUAGGUUGAAGUGUUAGCGAAAGCGGGCAUGGACAAAACAGAAGUGAAAAUGUCGGAUUGAGUAGCGAAAACAUUGGUGAGAAUCCAAUGCUCCGAAAACCUAAGGUUUCCUCCGCAAGGCUCGUCCACGGAGGGUGAGUCAGGUCCUAAGGUGAGGCUGAAAAGCGUAAUCGAUGGACAAUAGAUUAAUAUUUCUAUACUGAUUUUUACUGGUAUCGAGGGACGAAGAAGGCUAAACUAGCCAGAUAUUGGUUACUGGUUUAAGUAAUUAAGGUGUUGAAGAUUAGAGAAAAUAAUCUGAGCUGAAAUACGAAUACAAGAUUUAUAUAAUCAAAGUAGUUGAUGUCAUACUUCCAAGAAAAGCUCGCUAUGCCAUAAGUAGAAAUCACCUGUACCUUAAACCGACACAGGUAGGUAAGUAGAGAAUACUAAGGAGCGCGGGAGAACCCUCCUUAAGGAACUCGGCAAAAUAGCUCUGUAACUUCGGAAGAAAGAGUGCCUUUUAGGCUGCAAUAUCAAGUUCCAAGCAACUGUUUAGCAAAAACACAGGUCUCCGCUAAGUUGUAAAACGAUGUAUGGGGGCUGACGCCUGCCCAGUGCCGGAAGGUUAAAGAAGUCGGUUAGCGUAAGCAAAGCUGGUAACUGAAGCCCCGGUGAACGGCGGCCGUAACUAUAAACCAGGAUCAAAUUGUAGUUAUAAAAUUUAGCUAUAUGCUGGAAAAUCUCGUUUGAAUCUUUCAUUACUUUGUUGGUUAAGAAAGCAGCUAGUUUCUAGCUCUUGUAUAAAUCAAAAGUGAAAAUAUGAAAGUAGAGACAAUCAGCAGGAAAGACUUUUUUUCAAAAAAAAAGAAAAUACUGAAUAAUUUUUUUGAUUAAAAGAAUCCUCAGAGACUACACGCUAAACAAGAAAAUCUAAAGUUUUCUUGAUGAUAUAGUCCGAUCUUUAUGGUGACAUAAAGGUAAAAAAGGUCUACCUCUUUUUUUACGUCUUUUAUAAAAAAAUAAAAAGAUUAACAUAAAUGAACGGUCCUAAGGUAGCGAAAUUCCUUGUCAGGUAAGUUCUGACCCGCACGAAUGGCGUAAUGAUUUGGAAGCUGUCUCGAGGAGGGACUCGGUGAAAUAGAAAUAUCUGUGAAGAUGCGGAUUACCUGCGCCUGGACAGUAAGACCCUAUGAAGCUUUACUGUAUCCUGAAAUUGGAUUUCGAUUUUUUUUGCGCAGAAUAGGUGGGAGACGUUGAGCCCAUUCUUUCGGGAAUGGAGGAGUCAUUAGUGAGAUACCACUCUGAAAAAAUUAAAAUUCUAACUUCAUACCGUAAUCCGGUUGAAAGACAGUUUCAGGUGGGCAGUUUGACUGGGGCGGUCGCCUCCCAAAAGGUAACGGAGGCGUACAAAGGUUCCCUCAGAUCGGUCAGAAAUCGAUCUUCGAGUGUAAAGGCAAAAGGGAGCUUAACUGUGAGACAAACAAGUCGAGCAGAGACGAAAGUCGGUCUUAGUGAUCUGACGAUGCUGUGUGGAAAGGUCGUCACUCAACGGAUAAAAGUUACUCUAGGGAUAACAGGCUGAUCUCCCCCAAGAGUUCCUAUCGACGGGGAGGUUUGGCACCUCAAAUAGGGGGCAUAAAGUCGUAAUACUUUAUGACAAUUUGGCUGUAUGCUGGAAAAUCCGUCCAUUAAUAAUGGUAUAGUAUCCUACAGUACAUUUUAAAAAUGUAAAAAUCUUUAGGUGCGGACAAUCAGCAGGGAAGUUUAUACAUUUAUGUAUAUAACCCCUCAACGACUACACGCCGAACAACCUUUAAGGUUGAUGAUAUAGUCUGAACUUUUAGGCGACUAAAAGGGUGAAAACCAUAAAAUAUGUUUGAGUUUUAUUUGAUCUUUUGAUCUUAUCGAAAGUUUAAAUUAUUCUCCAAUUACGUUUUAUUAACAUAAUUGCGAUGUCGGCUCAUCGCAUCCUGGGGCGGAAGUACGUCCCAAGGGUUGGGCUGUUCGCCCAUUAAAGCGGUACGUGAGCUGGGUUCAGAACGUCGCGAGACAGUUCGGUCCAUAUCCGGCGUGGGCGUUAGAGUAUUGAGAGUGACCUUUUUCUAGUACGAGAGGACCGAAAAAGACAUACCGCUAGUGUACCAGUUAUCGUGCCAACGGUAGACGCUGGGUAGCUAUGUAUGGUUAGGAUAACCGCUGAAAGCAUCU
rnacentral:rRNA from 2 species